GACGAACGCUGGCGGCGUGCUUAACACAUGCAAGUCGAACGCAGUGGCGAACGGGUGAGUAACGCGUAAUCACCCUGCCCUUCAGGGGGGGACAACAGUUGGAAACGACUGCUAAUACCUAAUACUGAAGGAGGGGAUUGCGUCUGAUUAGCUAGUUGGAGGGGUAACGGCCCGCCAAGGCGAUGAUCAGUAGCCGGUCUGAGAGGAUGACCGUCCACAUUGGGACUGGGACACGGCCCAGACUCCUACGGGAGGCAGCAGUGGGGAAUCUUCCGCAAUGGAGGAAAGUCUGACGGGGCAACGCCGCGUGAGUGAGGACGGCCUUCGGGUUGUAAAGCUCUGUUAAUCGGGACGCGGUACCGGAAUAGAAAGCCACGGCUAACUACGUGCCAGCAGCCGCGGUAAUUC
rnacentral:rRNA from 1 species